UGCUAAUUUUGUUUCUUGCAAACUCCUUGCGCAAGCUAGCCGCAGCCACCAUCUUCUCGCUCCUCCGCCCAACCGCGUCGCUGAGCCGCCACCCUAUUGUCGCCGCCACCGCAAGUAGCACCACCGUGUGCCGCCGUCGCACAGCCCCUGCCGCAAGCCACCUCCGUUCGCCGGCCAACUCUCUCUCCUCCUUCUUGAAUUGGCGGAGAAUUCUCUUUAGGCGACUUUUGAAAGUGUUAAGGUGGCCUAUCAGUUUGUUUACACAAG